rnacentral:rRNA from 1 species
AGUGAACGCUGGCGGUAGGCCUAACACAUGCAAGUCGAACGGCAGCACAGUAAGAGCUUGCUCUUACGGGUGGCGAGUGGCGGACGGGUGAGGAAUACAUCGGAAUCUACUUUUUCGUGGGGGAUAACGUAGGGAAACUUACGCUAAUACCGCAUACGACCUACGGGUGAAAGCAGGGGAUCUUCGGACCUUGCGCGAUUGAAUGAGCCGAUGUCGGAUUAGCUAGUUGGCGGGGUAAAGGCCCACCAAGGCGACGAUCCGUAGCUGGUCUGAGAGGAUGAUCAGCCACACUGGAACUGAGACACGGUCCAGACCCCUACGGGAGGCAGCAGUGGGGAAUAUUGGACAAUGGGCGCAAGCCUGAUCCAGCCAUACCGCGUGGGUGAAGAAGGCCUUCGGGUUGUAAAGCCCUUUUGUUGGGAAAGAAAAGCAGCAGGUUAAUACCCCGCUGUUCUGACGGUACCCAAAGAAUAAGCACCGGCUAACUUCG